UAAGGCCUACGGGACGCAGCAGUGGGGAAUAUUGGGCAAUGGGCGCAAGCCUGACCCAGCAACGCCGCGUGAAGGAAGAAGGCUUUCGGGUUGUAAACUUCUUUUCUUGGGGACGAAGAAAGUGACGGUACCCAAGGAAUAAGCACCGGCUAACUACGUGCCAGCAGCCGCGGUAAUACGUAGGGUGCAAGCGUUAUCCGGAUUUAUUGGGCGUAAAGGGCUCGUAGGCGGUUCGUCGCGUCCGGUGUGAAAGUCCAUCGCUUAACGGUGGAUCCGCGCCGGGUACGGGCGGGCUUGAGUGCGGG
rnacentral:rRNA from 1 species